rnacentral:rRNA from 1 species
AUGGCCGCGCCGGCGACCAGCCUCCGGCGCGCGGAGCUGUGCGCCGCCGCCGUGUCGGCCGCGGACGCGGCGUCGUGGUGGUGCGCGGUGGCGCUCGUCGCGCUCGUGCUGCUGGGCGCGCUCAGCGCGGAGACCGCGGACGGCGACGGGGAAGGCGCCGCGGCGUACUUCCGCGGCCCGCGGCUCGGCGGCGCGGCGGCGCGGCCGUGCGACGAGGUGUACGUGGUCGGGGAAGGCGAGACGCUGCACACCAUCAGCGACAAGUGCGGCGACCCGUUCAUCGUGGAGAGGAACCCGCACGUGCACGACCCCGACGACGUCUUCCCGGGGCUCGUCCUCGCGCUCCGGCCGACCAAGAACACCUAG